AGAGUUUGAUCCUGGCUCAGGAUGAACGUUGGCGGCGUGCCUAACACAUGCAAGUCGAACGGCCCUUCGGGGCAGUGGCGCACGGGUGAGUAACACGUAGCUUAUCUACCCUCAAGUGCGGGAUAACGUUCCGAAAGGAAUGCUAAUACCGCAUAAGCUCCCGGUUUCUAGAGAACUGCGAGAAAAGGUUUACCGCUUGAGGAUGAGGUUGCGGCCCAUCAGCUAGUUGGUGCGGUAACGGCGCACCAAGGCGACGACGGGUAGGGGACCUGAGAGGGUGACCCCCCACACUGGGACUGAGACACGGCCCAGACUCCUACGGGAGGCAGCAGUGAGGAAUAUUGCACAAUGGGCGCAAGCCUGAUGCAGCGACGCCGCGUGAGUGAAGAAGGCCUUCGGGUCGUAAAACUCUUUUCUGUGUGACGAGCAAGGACGGUAGCACAGGAAUAAGUCUCGGCUAACUACGUGCCAGCAGCCGCGGUAAUUC
rnacentral:rRNA from 1 species